UACGGAAGGCAGCAGUGGGGAAUAUUGCACAAUGGGCGAAAGCCUGAUGCAGCUAUGCCGCGUGUAUGAAGAAGGCCUUAGGGUUGUAAAGUACUUUCAUCGGGGAGGAAAAAACAAAACUAAUAAUUUUAUUUCUUGACGUUACCCGAAAAAGAAGCACCGGCUAACUCCGUGCCAGCAGCCGCGGUAAUACGGAGGGUGCUAGCGUUAAUCAGAAUUACUGGGCGUAAAGAGCACGUAGGUGGUUUUUUUAAGUCAGAUGUGAAAUCCCUGGGCUUAACCUGGAACUGCAUUUUGAAACUGAAAUACUAGAGUAUCGUAGAGGGAGGUAGAAUUCUAGGUGUAGCGGUGAAAUGCGUAGAUAUCUGGAGGAAUACCUGUGGCGAAAGCGGCCUCCUAAACGAAUACUGACACUGAGGGUGCGAAAGCGUGGGGAGCGAAACAGGGAUUUAGAUACC
rnacentral:rRNA from 1 species